rnacentral:tRNA from 2 species
AAAAAGAUAAGCUAAAUAAAGCUUUUGGGUUCAUACCCCAAAUAUAAAGAAAUACUUUUCUUUUUA